rnacentral:rRNA from 1 species
UUCAUGAAAGUUAAGGAAGCUGGCGGUAUCUUAACCAUUCAGAGGAACCUGCCCCGUAAUUGACGGUCCACGAGUAGAUCUACUUGCUUUAGAAAUUUAUAUAUCGCUGUAGUUGGAAUAUUUUUGGAGAAUGAUAUUCAAGAUAUUUGUUUAAUAGGAAAAUAGGUCAAGAUGUAGUUUAUAGGCAAGAGGAGGUGGGUUACAAUAAAAUUAUUUAUACGAAUUGGAGCUUUUAAUGGGCCCAUGAAGGCGGAUUUGAAAGUAAUUUUGAACAUAUUUUCAAGAUGAUUUUGGACCUGAGAUAUGUACAUAUCGCCCGUCGCUUUCGCUAUAAGGUGGAAUAAGUCGUAACAGAGUAGGUGUACUGGAAAGUGUCCCUGGAAAGCAGACUGGAGCUUUACAAAGCAUUUUAUUUACACUAAAAAGAUUGUUAGGAGGGCUAGCAUAGUUUGAAAGGUGGUUGUUAUUUAUUUUUGUAAGGUGAAUAGAAAAUUAAUAAAAAUAAUUGUUGUUUAGAUUAGUAGGUUCGAAUAAAUAAUUUAAGUAAUUAUAGUGAAGAGUAUUGUGAAAGGAGGAACUAAUUUAGGGAAAAGAAAAAUUGAAUUUUUGUA